CCGUGACACAAGCCGAUUCUGCUGCACGUGCAUUUCGAGGAUAAGGAUUCGCAAUCCCGGCGGGCUCCCGGCACACAGCUCGCAUCUGCAGCCCCUAGACGUUCUCGCCCCUGAACACUAGAUGUGAACUAAGCAACAACAGCCCAGCGACUUGAAGGAGGAAGAACAGAAUCUGGAUUAUUGCCGACGCCGCCUCCUCUGUGCAGUCUCUGGCCUUUCCUGCGGAUGGCGCAGCAGCCAGCGUCUCUCGUGCCCUCCCCAGCAGUAUCGGCGUGAGACGGACGCCACCACGAUGCUCCACUGAGCAGGAAGGAGAAUGGGGGCCUCUGGGAGCCCAAGCCCCCUGUCAACAGCGGGCACUGCCCUGCGCUUGCUCCCGUGUCCUAUCUGGAAGGUUCCUGAAGGAGGGAGAACAUUCACGCCCCCUUCUGAGAUUCCCCAAACUAACAGCUAACGUAGAUCGCUGGCUCACCCCGUCUCUGAGCUGGGCUCUCGGCACGAAGGCGGCUGAUGUCAUGUCACCGCCACCCUGCGUGAAGGCACCUUUGUGACCCCACUCCAGAGACGAGGAACCGGAAGCCCAAGCGGCCAGCCUCAGACCACAGGCCGAAGCCCAAAGCGCCAGGAUCUGCAGCCCAGGCAGCCUGGCCCCGGAGGCUGCCCCUCAACCGCCCCGCAGAGCCGCCUCCCAAGUGGCAAUGGAGGAAAUAAACACAGCUGCCCGGCCGCCAGGGGUCGGCCUGGAGGAGACCAUGUGCCCCCACCCCACCCCCGUCC
rnacentral:lncRNA from 1 species